rnacentral:lncRNA from 1 species
CGCGGAAGCAGCGCGCAUGCUCCGCUGCCUUUUAUGAAUGGGGGCUGGAGGGGAGCGCGGAUGCGGCUCCCGGGGUUUUUUUUUUUUUCCCUUUUUUUUUUUUGAAUGAAGGGCAGCGGCAGCUGCGCAUGCACCGCGCCCCCCGCCCGGGGCUGGAGGCACUCAUCCGCUUCCAGCCGUUCUGCUCGCGGGAAGAUAAAUGGAGGGGAGGAAUCCUGGGCAUGGCUGCACGGGAGCGGGCUCGCAGCGCGCUGGGUGAUGCACAACAGCUUCUCCAGGCACGUUUCUCCCCCUCCCUCCACGGUAAAUCGCAGCCAGACAUUGAUUAGUUCAGUUUGGGGGGAAAAGGAGCCGUGCAGGACAACUGGAGACUGGAGCAGAGAUUGCUGA